UCAGUGGUGCACACUUGAAGUUAAAUUAGAAUGUUGAACGGCCAGUAUACUGUAAUGGACUAAAUAAGCAUUAACUCGGGUAUUUUUUUGUAAUUAUGAAUUGAUACAAAAUUGAUUUCUUUAUGAUUUCCGGCAUCUUAAAGUAUUGGUAUAUUUUUGUCACAGCCAAUACCCAUCUAAAAUUCUGAGGUUGUAGAUUUCCCAAAAACCUACUAUAAUACGUGCAACUAAUUUACAUAA